AGCAGAAACUGUUGCUGAACAGGGCUGAAGAAUUUUCAGAGCUGAAUAAGUUGAUGAAAUGCUUCACUGCCCAGCUGAAGCUCUCCGAUGAAAAACUUGUGCUCGCACAAGAGAGGGAUCUGGAGAUAGAGAAUCUAGGAGACAAAGAUAUUGAGGUCAGCAAGCAGCAGGAUUGUGUGAAGCAGCUGCAGCAGGUGAACAGCGAGGCUAAGAUGCUCCUUGAUAAGCAGGAAUUAAAACACAAGAUCACUGUGGAUGUCUUCAAGCAAGAGGUCGAGUCUCUGACCAAAGAGGUGGCCUUCCUAGAAAACAGUAAUGUGGAUUUGGAAAAAGUGAAAGCUGAGCUCAAUGGCGAGCUCAAAUUAUAAAAUCAACAGCUACAUACUAACAGCCUUGAAGCUGACAACAGAUUGAUGGCUACUCAGAGUCAGGUUCAGGCCCUUAAGCUGGAACUAGAGA